rnacentral:rRNA from 1 species
GAGUUUGAUCGUGGCUCAGGAUGAACGCUGGCGGCGUGCCUAACACAUGCAAGUCGAACGGAACUAUUUUGGAAACUCCUUCGGGAGCGGAAUCUUUAGUUUAGUGGCGGACGGGUGAGUAACGCGUGAGCAAUCUGCCUUUAAGAGGGGGAUAACAGUCGGAAACGGCUGCUAAUACCGCAUAAAGCAUCAAAUUCGCAUGAUUUUGAUGCCAAAGGAGCAAUCCGCUUUUAGAUGAGCUCGCGUCUGAUUAGCUGGUUGGCGGGGUAACGGCCCACCAAGGCGACGAUCAGUAGCCGGACUGAGAGGUUGAACGGCCACAUUGGGACUGAGACACGGCCCAGACUCCUACGGGAGGCAGCAGUGGGGGAAUAUUGCGCAAUGGGGGAAACCCUGACGCAGCAACGCCGCGUGAUUGAAGAAGGCCUUCGGGUUGUAAA